rnacentral:snRNA from 2 species
GUCCCUUCGGGACCUACGAUUACAGAGAAGAUUAGCAAAGCCUCUGCUCAAAGAUGACACACACAAAUUGAGAAAUAGUUCAAUUUUUC